GCCCCAGUAGCUCAAAGGAUAGAGCGAGGCUCUCCUAAGGCCGAGGUUGUGGGUUCGACUCCCGCCUGGGGCGCCU
rnacentral:tRNA from 1 species